ACGUGCCCAGUUGUGGGGGAUAGCCCGGCGAAAGCCGGAUUAAUACCGCAUACGACCUACGGGUGAAAGCGGGGGAUCGCAAGACCUCGCGCUAUUGGAGCGGCCGAUGUCGGAUUAGCUAGUUGGUGGGGUAAAAGCCUACCAAGGCUACGAUCCGUAGCUGGUCUGAGAGGACGACCAGCCACACUGGGACUGAGACACGGCCCAGACUCCUACGGGAGGCAGCAGUGGGGAAUUUUGGACAAUGGGCGCAAGCCUGAUCCAGCCAUGCCGCGUGCGGGAAGAAGGCCUUCGGGUUGUAAACCGCUUUUGUCAGGGAAGAAACGGUUUGGGCUAAUACCCCGAACUAAUGACGGUACCUGAAGAAUAAGCACCGG
rnacentral:rRNA from 1 species